GGCGAGUGAAGCGGGAUGAGCUCAAGCUUAAAAUCUCCGUGCAAUUUUUGCGCGGCGAAUUGUAGUCUAUGGAAGCGUGGUCAGUAUGGGCACUUGGGUUAAGUUCCUUGGAAGAGGACAGCAUGGAGGGUGAUACUCCCGUUCAUCCCUAAGUUGCUUGUGCGUACGACCCGUUUUCUUUGAGUCGCGUUGUUUGAGAAUGCAGCGCAAAGCAGGUGGUAAAUUCCAUCUAAAGCUAAAUAUUGGUGCGAGACCGAUAGCAUACAAGUACCGUGAGGGAAAGAUGAAAAGAACUUUGAAAAUAGAGUUAAAGAGUACCUGAAACUGCUGAAAGGUAACCAAAUCGUUUCCAGUGUCUAUAAUCCGUGGUAUAUUUCAUUGGCGAGCGUAUGCGUGCGUGUGCUGUUGCAGUGGCCUUUUUGGCUGCGCUCGGCGUGUGUGCUGUGUGUGCUUGCCGGUGCCCUGUGCUAUGGUGGGACGUCAAGGUCAGUUCGUAUGCUGCGGGAAAUGGCCACCGAGGAGGUAGGGCUUACGCUUGCGUUUGUCUGUUAUAUCUUGGUGGACGAGUAGUCGCGGUUGGGACUGAGGUGCCU
rnacentral:rRNA from 1 species